GGUUGUAUGGAGUAGUUGGUUAACUUAGGAGAUUCUGAUCUGAGUCUUGCAACAGCAGGACGUGAUAAGACUUUCUCUUGCCCUGGGUUCGAAUCCCAGUACGACCU
rnacentral:tRNA from 1 species